UGGGGAAUUUUCCGCAAUGGGCGAAAGCCUGACGGAGUGACGCCGCGUGUGGGACGAAGGCCUUCGGGUCGUAAACCACUGUCAGUGGGAAAGAAGGGUGUCGGCGCUAAUACCGCCGGCACUUGACGGUACCUGCAGAGGAAGCCCCGGCUAACUACGUGCCAGCAGCCGCGGUAAUACGUAGGGGGCAAGCGUUGUCCGGAUUUAUUGGGCGUAAAGAGCGUGUAGGCGGUCUGGUAGGUCCGUUGUGAAAACUCGAGGCUCAACCUCGAGACGCCGAUGGAAACCCUCAGACUAGAGUCCGGAAGAGGAGAGUGGAAUUCCUGGUGUAGCGGUGAAAUGCGCAGAUAUCAGGAAGAACACCCGUGGCUAAGGCGGCUCUCUAGUACGUGACUGACGCUGAGACGCGAAAGCGUGGGGAGCGAAC
rnacentral:rRNA from 1 species